GUUGUAUAGUUAAGUGACUAAGCGUACACGGUGGAUGCCUUGGCAAUCAGAGGCGAAGAAGGACGUGCUAAUCUGCGAAAAGCGUGGGGGAGCUGAUAAGGAGCGUUAAUCCCACGAUGUCCGAAUGGGGAAACCCGAUAGAUGAAGAAUCUAUCAUUGUUGUCUGAAUUCAUAGGGCAACAAGGCAAACCGGGAGAACUGAAACAUCUAAGUACCCCGAGGAAAAGAAAUCAACCGAGAUUCUGCGAGUAGCGGCGAGCGAAAGCGGAGGAGCCAGCGAGUGAUAGCAUAAGUUUUAGGAGAAUUGUCUGGGAAGGCAAGCGAGAGAGGGUGACAGCCCCGUAUCCGAAAAGACGGAUGUGGUACUAAGCUAGCGAGAAGUAGGGCGGGACACGAGGAAUCCUGUUUGAAGAAGGGGGGACCAUCCUCCAAGGCUAAAUACUCCUGAUUGACCGAUAGUGGACCAGUACCGUGAGGGAAAGGCGAAAAGAACCCCGGGAGGGGAGUGAAAGAGAACCUGAAACCGUGUACGUACAAGCAGUGGGAGCCC
rnacentral:rRNA from 1 species